UCUGGUUGAUCCUGCCUGAACUGAUGUGUUCAUUUCAAAGAUUAAGCCAUGCAUGUAUAAGUAUAACCUGCCAGACAGGGAAACUGCGUACGGCUCAUUACACCAGCCUUAAUUUACUUGACCUUGACACCCUACUUGGAUAACUGUGGUAAUUCUAGAGCUAAUACAUGCACAAAAGCUCCGCUCUUCCCAGAGCAGAGUGCAUUUGUUCGCCACAAAACCAAGCGCCCCCAUGGGCGUUCUGUGUUGACUCAGAACAACUAAGCUGAUCGCACGGUCUUGCACCGGCGACGUGUCUUUCAAGUGUCUGCCUUAUCAACUUUCGAUGGUGGUGUAUCUGACCACCAUGGUGAUGACGGGUAACGGAGGAUCAGGGUUCGACUCCGGAGAGGGCGCCUGAGAAAUGGCGACCACGUCUAAGGAUGGCAGCAGGCGCGCAAAUUACCCACUCUCGACUCGAGGAGGUAGUGACGAGAAAUAACGAGGCUGUUCUCGAUUGAGGCCAGUCAUCGGAAUGGGUACAAUUCAAACCCUUUAACGAGUAUCUAUGACAGGGCAAGUCUGGUGCCAGCAGCCGCGGUAAUUCCAGCUGUCAAAAACGCGCCAGGCGUGAGGCGCAUAUCAUAGUCCGCAGGUGCUAGCGGAGGGAACCAAGCGUUACCCGGCUUAGAACACGUGUUUCGCUCCCGACCCGCUAGGGCUACAGCCAUUGAGGCCAAUGAAGGGCGCCGAGCGUGAGGCGCUUUAUAAAGUACCGCUAAGCAUCCCUACGAAAGUAGCUGGUUGCAAGAAUAAGUCCCCUGUGGGAUCUUAAAUAUAAAUUCUUUGAUUUAGAUAUGUCAAAGAGAUUCAACAAACCCUUGAAUCCGCGCGAGUUCCCCCAAGUCAAUGUC
rnacentral:rRNA from 1 species